GGAGGGGUGGCCGAGCGGUUUAAGGCGACGGUCUUGAAAACCGUUGAUGUGAAAGCAUCCCAGGGUUCGAAUCCCUGCCCCUCCGCCA
rnacentral:tRNA from 1 species